rnacentral:rRNA from 1 species
CACGUAGGGUGCGAGCGUUGUCCGGAAUUAUUGGGCGUAAAGAGCUCGUAGGCGGCUUGUUGCGUCGACCGUGAAAACCUGCGGCUCAACCGUGUGGUCUGCAGUCGAUACGGGCAGGCUGGAGUUCGGUAGGGGAGACUGGAAUUCCUGGUGUAGCGGUGAAAUGCGCAGAUAUCAGGAGGAACACCGGUGGCGAAAGCGGCUCUCUGGGACGGUACUGACGCUGAGACGCGAAAGCGUGGGGAGCGAACAGG